UGGUGCCAAUAUUACAGUGAUACUGGCAAUACAAAUGCUGGUAUUUUUCUCAGUAUAAACAAGAGAUUACUAUGCAAUACCAGCACUGGCCAGUAGGGGUCACUGUGUGUGUGGAGAGAGGCAGGGAUAGGAAGUUCCAGCAUAUCCCUCCCUGCCUAUCUAUACUCACUGAUCUGCAGGGGUGCAGCUGCAGAGAGUCCAGACAGCAACUCCCACCCUGCAGAGACAGCCUACAGCUCAGGGAAGUAAGGGAUGGGGGGAAAGGCUGCAAGGAGACAUACACUGAGACACUAAGGGACAUUGG